AGUUAGGAAACGGUAACUGAAUAAAAACACAAAUCGGGUCAAAUUUGGCAGACCCAAUUAGGCUUUCUUCAAAUUAAACUACUCUUUUUUCUCUCUUCAACCUUUAAAUUUAGCAUGCUGAAUUGGAUAAAUUUCUAAGAUUUUGUUGUCGAAUUCGCAAGUUUUAGCUCAAGAUUACCAAAUUUGAUUGUUUUUUUGAUCGAGAUCAGCUGAAUUGGCGAAACCUAAUUCGAAUUAGGGCAACGGUUCCUACUCUCGUUCGUGUUCGUCGAGCAAUCAUGAAUUGGUUGCAACGCAAGAUCUACCUUUACAAUGUCACUUUUGGACUCUAUAUGUUAGAUUGGUGGGAGAGUUACCUUUUCAAUACACUAAUCGUUAUUUUGAUGUGGUUUAUUUUGUACAACGGAUCACGGCAAGUAUCUGAAAUAUGGAACAGUUCCCUUGACUAUGCUCAUUCUCAAUCAACGUUGAAAGGGAUGCACUUUCUUCUUCUUCUUUUUUUUUUUCAUUGUGUAAAUGGACUUGGUGUGUUUGUUCUCAUACAUGAUUUUUGUUAUCCCAAUUCACCUUGAAAGGAUCAAAUCCUUGAAUAUUCUGAAUUGUAUGCUAUUGUACCUGUACUGUUAAAAUUGAAUUUGGCCUUCUUUUCCGGCAAGGAUCCUGUCAAACUCGUAAACAUAUUUAUUGCCUACCUUAUUGCACCUGCGCAUCACUGGAUAUCUGACAUCAACUAGAUGAUUAUAGCCUAUAAGUCGUGCUUUAUGAGGAACUUUAAUCCUCUCAUAUAAUUUAUUACUUGUUCCUUUUACCAUUUGACAUUUUGACUUAUUAUGGAAGGGUAUUGCUGCAUAAGGGUCCAAAAAAUUAUCUAAGAUAUUUCUAAAUCCUCUGAUAGGAUUUAUUAUAGGCUUAUAGCCCAACCAAAAUCAAGAACAAGGAUGGACUAGAUUCUCAUAUUUUCCCUCUAACUUCUGAUAUCCUCUUAACGAGUUCAGGUUCUGGGGCUGAUUGCUUUGGAACUGUCUUAACUCUUACAUUGCAAACUGUUUUCCUUUGUAAUAUGCUAAUAUCAUGUACGAAGUUUUUACUUCUCCUGAUCACUUUCUGAGCCUGCCCAUCAAAUUCUGUGUUGGCCUUUCUUAAUAUAUCCUUCCAGAUUGUCCUGUUGCUUUAGUCUGCAGAUCUUUGUUUAUAUUCUUAGGAUUGAAUUGUUUGUUGUUGUUUAUCUUAAUUACCUUUGACAUAGGCUCCAGGGUGAUGUUUGUGACUCUAUAUGGCGUCCUUCAGCAAUGUGUUUGUCAUCUUUGUUAAAACCAACCCUUUGUCCAUUGCCAGACUACCCGAAGAGGAGCUGUUUUUCGUUUAUGGUAUAUUUGGUUAGUGUAUUAGUGCCCAACGGCAAAAGUUUCUCAUUUUCUGACUGGUGGCCGUGGGUGGGACAGAGAGAAGAGGCAUGUUCAGAGAUUUUAUUUGGCCUAUGGAUAGGGAAAUGAAAACUGUGCUUCAAUAUAAUUUUUAAUCCCUUUUAUUGAGUCCCAGAGUAUCAUUCUGUAUGACAUUAUCCACUCACAGUAAAAAGUUUUACAGGCUAUCUUCAUAAUUUCAGUGACUGGCCACUUUUUCAUCGAGUAAAACUCAAAAACAUCUAGUAUAUGCUGUAACAUCUUAUCUUAUAUGCUAAAAAGUGACAACCGCAUUUAUGUUUGAAUCUUAUGUAGGAUGAACCUUAAUUUAUCUGAAGUAUCUUUCAAGUCUCUUUCUGUGUUAACAUAAUUUAAUCGUCUGCCUUGCAUUUGCUAGUACUUGAAGGGUCGUAUUGAUAUGCUUUUGCUCAUCAUUUUCUACAGGCAUAUUUGGGGAGGUGCGUAGAAGAUUUUAGAUACCUCAACUUACAAUGGGAAGAUGUAAGAAGUGAUGCCAAAGUUGAUGUUGGACAGAACUUCGAAUCUGCUGGAAAUUACUGGUAGAUCCUAUUGAAUAUGGCUUUUGGGAUUGUCUUUUUGUUCUUUUACUCUGUAUUCAACAGAGGAUCGUUGAUCUUGAUUUUUGUUCCUCAUCAUAUAUUGACCCUUGUGUUAGUUCCAUGUUAAUAUUGUAUUUUAAGAAUGAAAUUUUUGAAAGAGGGUCAUCAUUGAACAAUUACUAUGAACAACAUUUCAAUUUCAAUUCUUUUGAAAUUACAGAAUUAUAUUUUCAUUUA